UACGAAGGGGGCUAGCGUUGUUCGGAAUUACUGGGCGUAAAGCGUGCGCAGGCGGCUUCUCAAGUCAGGGGUGAAAGCCCAGAGCUCAACUCUGGAAUUGCCUUUGAGACUGAGUGGCUUGAGUACGAGAGAGGUGAGUGGAAUUCCCAGUGUAGAGGUGAAAUUCGUAGAUAUUGGGAAGAACACCGGUGGCGUAGGCGGCUCACUGGCUCGUAACUGACGCUCAUGCACGACAGCGUGGGGAUCAAACAGG
rnacentral:rRNA from 1 species